GAUGAACGCUGGCGGCGUGCCUAAUACAUGCAAGUCGAGCGAACAGAUGAGGAGCUUGCUCCUCUUACGUUUGCGGCGGACGGGUGAGUAACACGUGGAUAACCUACCUAUAAUACUUGUAUAACUUCGGGAAACCGUAGCUAAUACCGGAUAAUAUAUUGAACCGCAUUGUUCAAUAGUUAAAUACGGUUUUGCUUUCUCUUAUAGAUUGAUCCGCGCCGCAUUAGCUAGUUGGUAAGGUAACGGCUUACCAAGGCUACGAUUCGUAGCCGACCUGAGAGGGGGAACGGCCAAACUGGAACUGAGACACGGAACAGACGACUACGGGAGGCAGCAGUAGGGAAUCUGCCGGAAUGGGCGAAAGCAUGACGGAGCAAAGCCGCGUGAGUGAUGAAGGUCUUCGGAUCGUAAAAAUCUGUUAUUAGGGAAGAAAAAAUGUGUAAGUAAAUAUGCACGGAAUGACGGUAACUAAUAAGAAAGCCACGGCUAACUACGUG
rnacentral:rRNA from 1 species